UCUGCUUUUUCUCCCCAAAUCCCCCCAGUAUAUAGUUGUAUAUUUUAGUUGUGGUCUUUCUAGUUGUGGCACAUGGGACGCCACCUCAACAUGGCCUGAUGAGCGGUGCCAUGUCUGCACCCAGGAUCCAAACUCUGGGCCGGCAAAAUGGAGCACACGAACUCAACCACUUGGCCACGGGGCUGGCCCCAUCAUAGGCUUUUUAAAAUAAUUUUCUUCAAUAAGCAUCAGUUUAUUUAAAAUGAGAGAACAGAAAUACACUGAGUCACAAAACAAUACAAUAGAACUACCACAACCUCUUUCCAAGCAUACGUCCACUUUCUUUAAAAGAAAUAAAGUAUACACGAUUUCUACUACCUGCUUAAAAAUCUUUUAUAUGUCUACAUUGCAAAUAUACUGUCACAUUAAUUCAUUAAAUGCAACAUUCUAUAAUAAGCACAGUAAAAAUAAAUUAUAUAAAAUCUCUAAGUAGAGACUGAAAGGUAGACUAAUGACUUUUUCCUACACAUCCAAUAAACCGCACACAUUUAAUCAUUUCACUCCUUACUACUAAAUUUUCUUUUGCACCAAAUCUAAAUUCAGUUUUAGAUUAUUGGGGAACUUCUUUAAAUAAAUAUAUUAAGCUUCAAAUAACAUUAGUGGCAAUGACAUGUAUCUUUUCACGGUCUUAAGAUUUGCACCUAUAGUAUACACCUGUACUGAUACUUUGAGCAUCAAGGGUCUCAAAUUGACGAUGCUCGUUAAACGUUAGGUACCACAUUACACCGAUUUUCUGAUAAUCUGCUGAUUGCAGUUACACGGGGGCACUCAGAGCAGCACUAACACACACACAGGUCACGGCUCCGGCGGGAACCCGGCACUGCGGGGCGCACGCGGCGCUGCGGCCUCAUCGGUCUCAGGGCCUGACGACGAUGACCAGAAGGUCGCGACAGCGGAAUCGUACUCAGCACAGCUGAAGUUUGGCCUUCACUGUUUCCUGGUCUCUGUGCUAAGGGCUUUACUUGCGUCAUUCAAUCGAUUUAGUCAUUUAACUCUUCCCAUUAAAAGAAAAAUUAUGCCAAUGGGCCAUUUUAGGAAACGCGUGACAAUUUCCUUUUCAUCAUAUGCAUCCUUUCAUCCUGAGUUCUGAAUAUCCGGGUAACGGCGGGUCAUCAGAUUUGAUAGAUUAAUAGUUUCGCCUCUGACAACAUUUUGAAAAAAUGAUCAUACAACAAAACCUAAGAGCGACAAGAACGCCCCUCCCCUGCCUGAGCCCCGCACACGCGCAGCCAGGCGCGCAAGCGCGCUGCGCGGCUUCCAGGGC
rnacentral:lncRNA from 1 species